rnacentral:rRNA from 1 species
AGAGUUUGAUCAUGGCUCAGGACGAACGCUGGCGGCGUGCUUAACACAUGCAAGUCAAGGGGGCCCAGCAAUGGGCAACCGGCGAACGGGUGCGUAACACGUGAGCAACCUACCGAACUGUGGGGGAUAGCCGGCCUAACGGCCGAGUAAUACCACAUACGCUCUCAGUGAGGCAUUUCAUUGAGAGGAAACCUACGGGACAGAUCGAGGGGCUCGCGGCCUAUCAGCUAGUUGGCGAGGUAACGGCUCACCAAGGCAACGACGGGUAGCUGGUCUGAGAGGAUGGCCAGCCACAUUGGGACUGAGAUACGGCCCAGACUCCUACGGGAGGCAGCAGUGGGGAAUCUUGCGCAAUGGCCUAACGGCUGACGCAGCGACGCCGCGUGUGGGAUGAAGCUCCUCGGAGUGUAAACCACUGUUGCCCGGGACGAAUAGCUCGAUUAAUCGAGCCUGACGGUACCGGGUGAGGAAGCACCGGCUAACUCCGUGCCAGCAGCCGCGGUAAUACGGGGGGUGCGAGCGUUGUCCGGAAUCACUGGGCGUAAAGGGCGCGUAGGUGGUUUGAUAAGGGUGUGGUGAAAGUCCGGGGCUCAACCCCGGAUCUGCCGUGCCGACUGUCAAACUCGAGGACUGUAGAGGCAGACGGAAUUCCGGGUGUAGCGGUGGAAUGCGUAGAGAUCCGGAGGAAGACCGGUGGCGAAAGCGGUCUGCUGGGCAGUUUCUGACACUGAGGCGCGACAGCGUGGGGGAGCAAACAGGAUUAGAUACCCUGAUAGUCCACGCCGUAAACGAUGGGUACUAGUGCCUGGGGGAGCGACCCUCUGGGUGCCGGCGCUAACGCAGGAAGUACCCCGCCUGGGGAGUACGACCGCAAGGUUGAAACUCAAAGGAAUUGACGG